CAGGCCUAACACAUGCAAGUCGAACGGACCCUUCGGGGUUAGUGGCGGACGGGUGAGUAACACGUGGGAACGUGCCUUUUGGUUCGGAAUAGCUCCUGGAAACGGGUGGUAAUGCCGAAUGUGCCCUUCGGGGGAAAGAUUUAUCGCCAUUAGAGCGGCCCGCGUCUGAUUAGCUAGUUGGUGAGGUAAAGGCUCACCAAGGCUACGAUCAGUAGCUGGUCUGAGAGGAUGACCAGCCACAUUGGGACUGAGACACGGCCCAAACUCCUACGGGAGGCAGCAGUGGGGAAUCUUGCGCAAUGGGCGAAAGCCUGACGCAGCCAUGCCGCGUGAAUGAUGAAGGUCUUAGGAUUGUAAAAUUCUUUCACCGGGGACGAUAAUGACGGUACCCGGAGAAGAAGCCCCG
rnacentral:rRNA from 1 species